GCAGCCUUCAGUUUCCAAGCCAUAUCACCCAGAUCACUUCGUUGUUUUGCAUCCAACCACAAACACAUCUCUUGGAAGAAUCACCGACUCAGUUUCGUCAAUCCAGCCACACCCACCAAGACUAGCAAGGUGCGCAUGUCUUCCUCUAGGAACAAGGGCAAGCAAACUGCAACAGCCGAUCAAGAAAACCAUCAACACAGUCGACUGCGUUUUCUGAAGCCAAUAGUAAGGCUCGCCUGCUUCAAACUGUCCCUUCUAAUCGCUCCAAACGAACUUCCGAACUGGACCUUCCACAUAAACCUGGUGGACCCUGAUGGAAGGAAUGCCCGCUUUCGUUGCUUCUAGAAAGAACAGCAAAAUGGCAGCACCGCAUUGACUCGAGGUUGGCCACAUUUCUACCAUACAUACCAAAUAAAUUUAGACUCCUUUCUUCUUUUCAAGCACAAGGGUAACUCUGAGUUCCAAGUACGUAUCUUCGACUUCGGUGCUGCGAAAAUGCCUACCAGCCCCGACCGUCCGAAGAACCGCCGUAUGAAAAGAAAGGCACUUACCAGCGUGCCCGCUGUAUCAACAAUCCUUCGUCAGACAAGGCCAAAGGGAUAGCUCAAACGCACAAGACCAAAUGGCCCUUCUUUGUCAUAGACCUCACUAGCCGCGUCUUGUCCUCCCACUUGUUGGUAAGGCAACUUACAUACAACCUGUUCCUUUAAUACCAUUCUCCCACCCCCCUUGUUUACCUGCACCAAUUCAUUUUCUUGUACGUGUCUUCAUCAAUAAGUUUCUCUCUGUUAAUGAUCUGUUACUAUGCUACAACAGCCAAAUGUCCCUCAUCUGAGCCAUUUCACUGGUCAGAGGCACACACUCAUCCUAUCACACGACCACAUUGAGGUCGAGGCCACCUACACCAGAUUUAGUGACAGGCGAGACGGUAGCUUAGGAGUCAUUUCCAGAGGUUGGGCAAACUUUGCU